GAUGAACGCUGGCGGCGUGCCUAAUACAUGCAAGUCGAACGGUAACAGGCGACCAUGUUUUGCCGGGUGGCUUACGGGUGCGUGAGGCACCCGAACGUACCCAGUCGGGGGGGGUGAGUAAUCGAUUGGGUAGGUAAUAUAUCAUACCAUAUAAGGAUGUGAGCCGGGAAAUUUAAGGCAUAGCGGCAUUUGCGCGGCCACUGUGAGAUUAGGCAGUUGGUGGGGUAAUGGCUGACCAAGCCAACGAUCAAUAGCUGGACUCAGAGGAGGACCGGCCACACUGGAACUGAGACACGGCCCAGACUCCUACGGGAGGCAGCAGUGGGGAAUUUUGGACAAUGGGCGAAAGCCUGACGCAGCAAUGCCGCGUGGAGGAAGAAGGUCUUCGGGUUGUAAACUGCUUUUGUACGGAACGAAAAGGCUCUGAUUAAAACGUGCACAUAAUGACGGUACCGUACCAGAAAGCAACGGCUAACUACGUG
rnacentral:rRNA from 1 species